rnacentral:rRNA from 1 species
UACGAAGGUCCCAAGCGUUAUCCGGAUUUAUUGGGUUUAAAGGGUGCGUAGGCGGGUUAUUAAGUCAGUGGUGAAAGCUCCAUGCCUAACAUGGAAAUUGCCAUUGAUACUGAUGAUCUUGAGUACAUUUGAAGUGGGCGGAAUGUGUCAUGUAGCGGUGAAAUGCUUAGAUAUGACACAGAACACCGAUUGCGUAGGCAGCUCACUAAACUGUAACUGACGCUGAGGCACGAAAGCGUGGGGAGCGAACAGG